UGGCUUGGAUCCCACUGGGGGAAACCUGAAACCUAAGGCCCACCGUGAGUGGAGGAAAUGGGUAGAGGUGUGACUGACCCUGGCUGGGGGAGGGGUGCUGGAGCCUUCCUCAGUGCCCUUUGAAGGUGUUUUCGCUUCUGGUUUCUAUCUUGGGUCCCCUCCGAGUCCCAGAGUCAAGCUGGAAGCAGAGUUUAGCGCAGCCUUUCAGAAGAGGAGCACAGUGGGCCUGGGUGGGGGCGCCGUGCCCAGAACGGCCACAUCUGGACCUGCCUCAGGUGUCCUGGCACCCCGCAGACCUGGUCCAGAGUGAUGCUCACAACGGGGGUGUGAUGAAUGACCAGCAGGACUGUGGUGGUCCCCGGCCACCAGGCAGAGGGGACUCUGUUAUUCAGUCACUGCGUUGCCACAUGGGCAGCUGCCCUCCUGGUAGAGGGGAGCUUGUCUGGUGUGGACCUGGAAGUGCAGGGGGCAGACCUCGAGGGUAGCCAGCGGGUCCCAGCGGAGUGGCUAGCUGUGCCGGGGGAGCAGAGGUGGGCAGCUGCCUCCCCCAAGGCUGAGUGUUCUCGAUCUUCACAUGUGGGGUCUCUUCCCUCAGCCCUUGAAUGCUCUUAAAAAAGGGUGGUUGCAUUUGGGCCUUUUAUGGAGGAGGGCAGGGAGAGGUGGGAUCCUUGGUUUUCCAGGCCCGACGGCUUAUAGAGCCGCAGCAUGUCCCUUGUAUUGUCUGAUCCUGUGAGUUAGGGCUGGAAUGGCCGGCCCCAUCCACAGGUGGGAAAGCUGAGGGCAUCAAAGGUCUUGAACAAGUUAAGCCUGGAGCUGGAACGAGGGCCUGGCUUCCUGGUCUUCUCGUCUUAUUGUGUCGUGGUUCUGGGCAGGUCUGAUCAAGUGCACAUCAGGAACCAGACCUCACCCCAACAGGCUCAAGUGUCUCAAGUGGGCUCCUUAAAUCCACACGCCCCCGCACCCCCAGGGCACAACACAUCACCUGCUCACCUCUCUCCCUUCCUCCUGCUUCUGCCUUUUAACCCGAGGAUGCUCUGGGACUUUGCUGCUGACCUCCACCUCUUGGCCCCCUUUCCUCUGUACCUGGGCACACAGGCACUGCUGAUAGGGGGUUAGAGCUUAUGUUGACUCCACGGCCGACUGCAGCCUUGAGUGUCCUCCUGGGCCCACUCGUCCUCGGGGGAGACAAGAAUAUGAAGCUGUGACAUUCUGCACACAAACCCAGAUUUCUGGUUUCCUUUGCUGACUCAGGAGGCCUGUAACCCUGCCUACGUUCCUGCUAGGCCCACCGGCCUCACUGCUCCCAGGCCUCCCUCGAUGCUGCCUGCAGCCCUCGGCAGGGCGCCUGGCUCUUCCAAAAGGAUGCAGGAUGCUUGACUGGUACCUCUGCCCCCAGAGCCCCGUGACUGGAGGGUCUCCAGGCUGUGGUCUUCAACUUGCUUUGUGUGCGCAGAUAGGAAGACUUGUCCCCUCGGAGCAUCUGGUUCUUCCUCUGCAGAAGAACCAGGGGUUAUAUCAUCUUCCUGGGGAGCAGUCAGAAGGAUUCAAGGGACUGGCAGGUCAGCCUGGAGCCAGGUGGACUCCUGCAUGUGUGGCCGUGAGGACUGUUCCUCCCAGCGCCUGGCCUCUGACACGCAGGCUCAGGAGUGCCCGAGAGGCAGAGCGAUGGGCGAAGUCCGGAGAUGGGCCUGGCUGUCCACGGGGUGGGUGGGAGAGGCCCAGGCUGGGCAGGCAUUGUCUACCUGACUCUGCAGGUGUGUCUUACAGUCCUCAGCUCACAGGGGAGGGAGCCGGCUCCACGGGGAUGGCGGGCCUCCCCAGCAGAUGGGGAAACCGAGGCUCAGAGUGGCGUUGUGACCGCCAGAGGCCCCACAGCCGUGCUGCUUCUGCCUCCGCCAAGGCUCUCACUGACGUUCCCAGGAGGAGGACACAGUCAGCCCACAUCUUCCUUUUAAGCGGCUUGAAUUUUUUAUGUUAAUUACAGAGAGAAUUCACAUUUAUUAUUGAAAAAUCAGAAAACUCAAGCAAUAAAGUGAGGACA